GAUGAACGCUGGCGGCGUGCCUAACACAUGCAAGUCGAACGAAGCAUUUUAACCUGAUUUUUUCGGAAUGAAGGUUCUUAUGACUGAGUGGCGGACGGGUGAGUAACGCGUGGGCAACCUGCCUUACACAGGGGGGACAACAGCUGGAAACGGCUGCUAAUACCGCAUAAGCGCACGGGACUGCAUGGUUCUGUGUGAAAAACUCCGGUGGUGUAAGAUGGGCCCGCGUCUGAUUAGGUAGUUGGCGGGGUAACGGCCCACCAAGCCGACGAUCAGUAGCCGACCUGAGAGGGUGACCGGCCACAUUGGGACUGAGACACGGCCCAA
rnacentral:rRNA from 1 species